AUGUACGCCGGUUCCAGCCCCACCUCAGAGAUAAGGAACUCGGACGUACGCAGCAUCGGACCACCUGAACGUCUUCUUCAAGUACGCCACUUCGGCGGCGAUCUUCUCCUCGCUGCGGAACGCGACAGCCUGCAUCGCUUUUCUGAACAUCCCGGAGCCGCGGCGCACACCCAGGCUUUCGGUACAUGCCGCCAUCGCCCGGACCUUCUCUGGUUUGGUGCUAAGCAGCCUCGGAAGAGAGGUGCACAGCUUGGCAAUAUCACAAGCACCUAG
rnacentral:rRNA from 1 species